UUUCAUAGUUGCUUUGGCCUGUACCAAGGAGGAACAUCACAAUAUGGGUGGUGAAGCAAAGUUCACAUCAUGGUGGCUGAGAAGUGAGACAGGAAGGGGCCAGGUCCCAAGACAACCUUUAAAGGGGAUUCUUGUACCAGAGAUUCCUGCUACAAAGAAAAUCUACUACCUUCUUUGCUUCCAGCUACCAUGAACUGAGCAGCUUUGGUACGCCAUGUCCUUCUACCUGGGAAUUAGCCAACUAUGGGCUAAUGAAACCAUGAUCCAAAGAAAUCAUUUUCUCCUGCCUCAUUGUCUACUUUCAGAUGUUCUCAAAAGGAUACAAGUAAAUGAGCCAUGUGAAGAAUUGAGUAAAGCACCAAGCACCUUGUCAACUAUCCAUCAAUGUUAGUCAUCAUCAUCAUCUUCAGUAGCAGCAGCAGUAGCAAUCUUCUGAUCAUCGACAAAACUUGCCCUACCUGAGUUCUUCCUACUAUGAGGUGUAUCUCCAAGCCACCUUCUUCCU